GACGAACCGUCCGAACGUUAUUCGGAAUCACUGGGCGUAAAGGGUGCGUAGGCGGGUCUUUAAGUCAGGGGUGAAAUCCUGGAGCUCAACUCCAGAACUGCCUUUGAUACUGAAGAUCUUGAGUUCGGGAGAGGUGAGUGGAACUGCGAGUGUAGAGGUGAAAUUCGUAGAUAUUCGCAAGAACACCAGUGGCGAAGGCGGCUCACUGGCCCGAUACUGACGCUGAGGCACGAAAGCGUGGGGAGCAAACAGGG
rnacentral:rRNA from 1 species